GGUUCGAUGGUGUAGUUGGCAGCACAUGGACUACGCAAGUCUGUGACGGUCUUAAAAAGCCGGAUAUAGUAGCAAGUGCCCCCGGCGCGGGUUCGAGUCCCGCCCGUGUCA